GACGAACGCUGGCGGCGUGCUUAACACAUGCAAGUCGAACGGUAAGGCCCUUCGGGGUACACGAGUGGCGAACGGGUGAGUAACACGUGGGUGAUCUGCCCUGCACUUCGGGAUAAGCCUGGGAAACUGGGUCUAAUACCGGAUAGGACUCCUGGCUUCAUGGCUAGGGGUGGAAAGCUUUUGCGGAGUGGGUUGGGCCCGCGGCCUAUCAGCUUGGUGGUGGGGUAAUGGCCUACAAAGGCGACGGCGGGAUGCUGGCCUGAGAGGGUGACCGGUCACACUGGGACGGGGAUACGGCCCAGACUCCUGCGGGAGGCAGGAGUGGGGAAUAUUGCACCAUGGGCGCAAGCCUGAUGCAGCGACGCCGCGUGAGGGAUGACGGCCUUCGGGUUGUAAUCCUCUUUCAGCUAUGACGAAGCGCAAGUGACGGUAGUAGCAGAAGAAGGACCGGCCAACUACGUGCCAGCCGCCGCCGUAA
rnacentral:rRNA from 1 species